UUUCCGUAGGUGAACCUGCGGAAGGAUCAUUAAUGAGUUGUCAUGGGGUUCGAUGCUGGCAGCCAAUUUUUGGAUGCAUGUGCUUGCCCUAACAAUCAUCUUCCAAACACCUGUGCACAUUUUUGAGGGAGUCUUGAGUUGGUUGCCGCUCUUGGGUGAUUUUCUCACAUUCCCUUAAAUCAUUAUACGCUAUUAACAAUGUUGAACGUGUUCUGUGCCGCAAGGCUAUUAAUAUAAUACAACUUUUAACAACGGAUCUCUUGGCUCUC
rnacentral:misc_RNA from 1 species